AUUGAACGCUGGCGGCAGGCCUAACACAUGCAAGUCGAACGGUAACAGGAAGACGCUUGCUUCUUUGCUGACGAGUGGCGGACGGGAGAGUAAUGUCUGGGAAACUGCCUGAUGGAGGGGGAUAACUACUGGAAACGGUAGCUAAUACCGCAUAACGUCGCAAGACCAAAGAGGGGGACCUUCGGGCCUCUUGCCAUCGGAUGUGCCCAGAUGGGAUUAGCUAGUAGGUGGGGUAACGGCUCACCUAGGCGACGAUCCCUAGCUGGUCUGAGAGGAUGACAAGCCACACUGGAACUGAGACACGGUCCAGACUCCUACGGGAGGCAGCAGUGGGGAAUAUUGCACAAUGGGCGCAAGCCUGAUGCAGCCAUGCCGCGUGUAUGAAGAAGGCCUUCGGGUUGUAAAGUACUUUCAGCGGGGAGGAAGGGAGUAAAGUUAAUACCUUUGCUCAUUGACGUUACCCGCAGAAGAAGCACCGGCUAACUCCGUG
rnacentral:rRNA from 1 species